AGCAAUCACAUGUCAUAUAUUUUCCUCUCUUUCUUUUCUUUAUAUUUUCUCUCUUUUUCAAAAUAUAAUUAAAUAUUGAUAAAUUGGACAAAACCGUUGAUGCACUUGGUAAUAUUCAUUUGUGCCUCAACCAUUCAGUUGGCUGGCCUCUUGUGCCACAUCAGACUACCAUCUCUCCCUCUCUCUUUUUCAGCCUAAGCGUUCCGUCUCCCACCUUGCCGUUAUAAGUUACAACACAAAUAGUGAACCAGUGUAACGUUUGUUUCUAGGAAAUGUUUAGUUUAUAGGUUUUCUUCUUUUCCUAAUACUAACCAAUCAUAUUGACAAUUUAUGCUUGAUGCGUUAGUAUACAAUAUUGUUGAUUAAAAUCAUAAUGGUUGUUGGGGUUGUACUACUCUUUGUAUUUCUAUGAUUGGUAACGUAGAGGGAUUGUGCUAAGUUAUUGAUUUGCUCCCACUGCCCCACUACAAAAACCAAAUUGAAGAGGAAUUGGUGGUAGGAGUUUGAGGCUAGAGUGGACCUGAGGUUUACUAUCUAGUUGGACUUUUUGGUUAGAGACUCCAUGCCUGUCUAGAAGAUAUCUUGAGCAGUUUUUGUAUUUUUUGAAGGUAUAGCUUGUGUAAUCUGACCAUGAUGUAGUAUCAAGUUUGACAUAACAUUUUGAGGUUGGAUUUUCUAUAUAUAUAUAUAUAUGGAUUGUACUUGUGUUGAAAUAUGUUAUCAUGUUCUGAUGACAAUGUAACCUUUUUUUAAGCUUGUAGUUUUGCUAUGAAAUUAUGAAUUGACUUCAUAGUAUUGUGGAGACAUGUAAGAAAUUUCUUAUGAGAUUUAAUUUGUUUAAGGGAUCUGUCACCAUUUGGGAUUAGUUUUAUCAAUGUCCGGGCUUCGGGGUCGUGACAGUUGAGAACAUGCUUGUUACUGUAUGUGACUGAGAGAAUUCUAUGGUACACUGUACACACUUUUCUAAUUUUAACUGUUCAGGUGUGUCCCAUAGAAUUUUCCAUUGUUUAUAUCUCAUCUGAUUAUUAUAUGCUGAGUACUGACACAUGGCAGCAAGCUAUGACUGGCAGAAUCGAUUUUAAAACUGUAUUUAUGCCAUUUUGUUCAUGAGUAUCGAGAAGAGGGAGAAAGUUUUACAACAUCACAAAUAAUUGUACUGGCAUAGCACAGCUUGUGUUGAAGAACUCUUUGGCCAACAUUCUGGGCACCAAAAUUCAAGGAAUCUUUAGAGGUUCCAAUGGGAAAAUCAUGAAAAGUUACGCAUUUGUCUUUAUCCUAGGAGUAGGCUUCAUUUGUCGGCUUAUUUUACUUAAGAUUCCAUAGCUCAUUUGUACUAAGUUUUGUUGGGGAAUGGUCUCAAAAUGUUUUUUACAUUGAGUCCUUUAUUGGAUUUUGAUCUAUAUUAUUUCAGAA